rnacentral:tRNA from 1 species
GGCGAGAUGGCCGAGCGGUCUAAGGCGCCAGACUAAGGUGCUUAUCUCGUCAUAGGUGUACGCAAUCUGGUCCGAAAGGGCGUGGGUUCGAAUCCCACUCUCGUCA